UGUUCAAAGACCAUAUAAAUUGGUCAUUAUAAAAUUAUCAUAAGAAAAUGAUCGUUGUAAAUAGGAAAUGACUCAGCCUUGAAAAGGCAGAUGGUUUCUGUAUUAUCAAUUCCACUGUACAAUCAUUGACUUUGCCCAUACGCUUGCAUCGUACCUAAAUAUCUACAAAAUUCAGCCACGGAGGUCGAAACGCUACUGGGCAUGGAC
rnacentral:lncRNA from 1 species